AUCUUUUUGUCUCUGUGAUCAUGUCUAGCUCUGGGCUGCUUCAAGGCAGGGGCAAGGCUUUGACAUCAGCCCAAGAAGAACCACCAAGCCCAUAUUUUGUCUGAAGCUGGAUUUGAACUAAUGGCAAGGGAACAGCUACUAGAAACAUUACCCACUGUGAGGCUGCAGGCUCUUCCCUGCCCCCCCAUAAGCAGAAGUGCUCCUGGGUCUGAUCAGCUACUGUGGACUCUUUGUGCGAUGGGAAGUGGGCCUGCAGGAAAGCCUUGCCUACAGUGGUAGGUUAUGGUGAGUGUUUACAGGAGAAGUGAGCAUUGGGUCCAUUGGUUUCUGCAAAUUGCCUUGCUUCUCCAGAGAGAAAAGUCCUUGAAACCUAAGUCUUCCAAAUAGAAGUCACUGUUGGACCCAUGUUUGGAGGUAUUCCAGCCCUCAUGAAGGAUUGAAAGACACAGAUGGGAGCAGAGAGGCAGUCUGACGAAAUGGUGUCUGAUGCGGAAGUGUGGAUGAAGCAAAAGUGUGUAGCUGAAUUUCUCCAUGUGGAAAAAUUGCACCCAAUGACAUUCAUCAAUGUUGCUGAAUAUUUAUGGAGACCAAAGAGUGGAUGUGAGCACAGCAAGGAGGUAAAAACACCAGAAAGAGAGAAGGAGGAAAUGAAAAGGAGCAAGAAACAAUGAAGGGAAUACCAAGGUCAGAGGAGGAGCUCCGUGCUGGAGAAGAUGUUCCUGAAGAAACUGCAGUCCAUGAAGAGAGCCCGCACCGGAGCAAGGUAAAAAGUGUAAGGCAAAGAUCAGGAGAGAGACAUUUCUAAACCUCUGUGCUCGAAUCGAAACUGGAUUCUGGAGUGGAGGAGCGAAGUUGGGUAUGGCAGAAGGAGGAAAAAAGGAGUUGUUUCAAUUAUCCUUGUGUCUCACUACCAACAUGGAGCCUCUCAACUCAAGGAAAUCCAGGAAAAGGCAUCCCAGGGAAAAUAUCAGUUAGAGCAUUCACUGAUUACUUGAACAAAGAGAAGGCAUCUGCAUGCUCCCCAAAACUGUUAUCUUUUUGUAGCUUCUCCGUUAGAAAUGACUCAUGGUGGAAGGAAAAUUGAAGAUUUUCUGACAAUGACACCUUUUAGAGGCUGUUUACAGUUAAUUGAACAUGGCUCUAACAACAUCUUACUUAUAGUUGUGUUCUUUCCUCAAAGGAUGUAAACUUGCUUCCAAGUUCCGAUUUCAUUUCAGCUAUAGCACGUAUAGCAUGCUUUCCUAGCUCUAAAUACCAUGGGAAAUUUCGGUCAACUCUUACAGUAGAAGAGGAAUCACAAAGCCUCUUUCCCUAAUUAGCUACUUACUUAUUUGUAGACUAAAGUCUUCUAAAUGUGAACCCAUCUCUUUCUCGGAUUCUUGUUUGGUUUUUUUUUUUUUUCUCCUGCCAUGGCUUGCAGUACACAGAGAUGUCAUUUAACUUUUCCAUCCUCUUUGACAAUAAAGAGGCUGCAGUGAGGCGGGUAGUGAAUCAAGACAGAUUCUUGCCCAUAAACACUCAUUUUGGAGAGUGAGGAGAGGUCAAGAGAGAAUGUCUCUCUCAUCCAGCAGAUUGUUCCUGCUGGAGUGCCACUUCUAACGUAAAGAAUUCCCCAAGUCUUUACAAGGUACUAUGAAUUAACCUCUAACUCAUUUGUACUCUAGAAUGUUUCCAUCCAUUUAAGCUAUCAAGGGAUUUGCUAUGAUUCUAAUGUGUCAUUACAAAAGUCCUUUAAAAUAUUUCAAUCCUGAUUUAAACUUUAACUCUUCAAAGAACUUUAACUGCACCGUGUAAAUUUAUGAUGACCAUAUGAAAGGUGUCAGGCUCAUGAUAAAAUUCGGAGACAAUCCAGAAAAAAAAAAUUAAUUGGAGUACAAAUUACUCUUCAGUGUUACUAUCUGUUCCCAGACAAAAUAUUUCCAACGUGUCUCCAGGGCAAAUCUGACAGAAGCGCGGCACCCUUCCUCAUGUGUCUGUGCACAUUCUGAAGAUGGUGGUAACCUCCACAAAAUCCUGUAAAGAAUUCACUUAAAGCCUUUCUGCUCUUCAGCAUGCUCUUGUGAAGUUUUGCAAGAUGUGCAGAGUUGUAGUAAGCAUUUGAACAUCAAAUCAUCCUUAGAAAAGCAAGGUUAUUUCCACAGGUCAUGUGGAAACACUGUAUUUUGGGCUUUGUAACUGAAGAAAAAGUUAAUUCUGACUUGAUCCUUAAACUGUUCCCAAUAAACUGAUGAUGUUGGAAAAAUCAUUUAAUAGAAUGUGAGCACGUUUCCCCAAACCUGUUAUUUCUCUCUCAAAUAAAAAUAAUUAUUUUCAUUCUCAUGG
ensembl:lncRNA